CCGGAGAUGUGCGCACACCUGGGUGCAAUCCUGCUGUUCCACUCACAGACAGCUGCCCGUAGACGGAGCUGUGCAGAAUGAAGAUGCUGACAGUGUGCACCCAGCGCAGCUGCAUGGUGCCCAAGCUCCCUGCUUCCCUCCAGCUCCUAGUCCUGUCCUCCGUCUCCAGCAGAAGAAGAGAGCUUUCAAUUGGCAAGAAGCAUGUUAUGAUGUGAAAUUCCUUAACCCUCCCAUCAGCGCUAUGAGGCCGGCUGCCUGAUUUCUACCUGGACCACAAGCCCUCACCUCCUCAUACAGUCGCCGUAGGAAGUCGAUCUCCUGGGUCAGCGCCUCCACAUUGGCC